rnacentral:rRNA from 1 species
UACGUAGGUGGCAAGCGUUGUCCGGAUUUACUGGGCGUAAAGGGCGUGCAGGCGGUUUGCUAAGUCUAGGGUGAAAGCUCCCGGCUUAACUGGGAGAGGUCCUUGGAUACUGGCAGACUUGAGGAGGGUAGAGGAGAGUGGAAUUCCCGGUGUAGUGGUGAUAUGCGUAGAUAUCGGGAGGAACACCAGUGGCGAAGGCGGGUCUCUGGGCAGUAACUGACGCUGAGGAGCGAAAGCGUGGGGAGCGAACAGG